UACAGAGGUCUCGAGCGUUAGGCGGAAUUACUGGGCGUAAAGCGCGUGUAGGCUGCUCAGAAAGUCGGAUGUGAAAGCCCUGGGCUUAACCUAGGAAGUGCAUUCGAAACUUCUGAGCUUGAGUUCUGGAGAGGAAGGCGGAAUUCUCGGUGUAGAGGUGAAAUUCGUAGAUAUCGAGAGGAACACCGGUGGCGAAGGCGGCCUUCUGGACAGUGACUGACGCUGAGACGCGAAAGCGUGGGGAGCAAACAGG
rnacentral:rRNA from 1 species